rnacentral:rRNA from 1 species
GGUUAAGUUAGAAAGGGCGCACGGUGAAUGCCUUGGCACUAGGAGCCGAUGAAGGACGGGACUAACACCGAUAUGCUUCGGGGAGCUGUAAGUGAGCUUUGAUCCGGAGAUUUCCGAAUGGGGAAACCCACUGUUCGUAAUGGAACAGUAUCUUUAUCUGAAUACAUAGGAUAUUGAAGGCAGACCCGGGGAACUGAAACAUCUAAGUACCCGGAGGAAGAGAAAGCAAAUGCGAUUUCCUGAGUAGCGGCGAGCGAAACGGAAUUAGCCCAAACCAAGAGGCUUGCCUCUUGGGGUUGUAGGACACUCUAUACGGAGUUACAAAGGAACGAAGUAAAUGAAGCGACCUGGAAAGGUCCGUCGAAGAAGGUAACAACCCUGUAGUUGAAACUUCGUUCCCUCUUGAGUGGAUCCUGAGUACGGCGGAACACGUGAAAUUCCGUCGGAAGCUGGGAGGACCAUCUCCCAAGGCUAAAUACUACCUAGUGACCGAUAGUGAACCAGUACCGUGAGGGAAAGGUGAAAAGCACCCCGGAAGGGGAGUGAAAGAGAUCCUGAAACCGUGUGCCUACAAGUAGUCAGAGCCCGUUAACGGGUGAUGGCGUGCCUUUUGUAGAAUGAACCGGCGAGUUACGAUCCCAUGCAAGGUUAAGCUGAUAAGGCGGAGCCGUAGCGAAAGCGAGUCUGAAUAGGGCGUUUAGUAUGUGGUUGUAGACCCGAAACCAGGUGAUCUACCCAUGUCCAGGGUGAAGUUCAGGUAACACUGAAUGGAGGCCCGAACCCACGCACGUUGAAAAGUGCGGGGAUGAGGUGUGGGUAGCGGAGAAAUUCCAAUCGAACCUGGAGAUAGCUGGUUCUCUCCGAAAUAGCUUUAGGGCUAGCCUCAUGUUGUGAGAGUCUUGGAGGUAGAGCACUGAUUGGACUAGGGGCCCCCAACGGGUUACCGAAUUCAGUCAAACUCCGAAUGCCAAAGACUUAUCCAUGGGAGUCAGACUGCGAGUGAUAAGAUCCGUAGUCAAAAGGGAAACAGCCCAGACCACCAGCUAAGGUCCCCAAGUAUACGUUAAGUGGAAAAGGAUGUGGAGUUGCUUAGACAACCAGGAUGUUGGCUUAGAAGCAGCCACCAUUUAAAGAGUGCGUAAUAGCUCACUGGUCGAGUGACUCUGCGCCGAAAAUGUACCGGGGCUAAACGUAUCACCGAAGCUGUGGAUUGACAUCUUUGAUGUCAGUGGUAGGAGAGCGUUCUAAGUGCUGUGAAGUCAGACCGUAAGGACUGGUGGAGCGCUUAGAAGUGAGAAUGCCGGUAUGAGUAGCGAAAGACAAGUGAGAAUCUUGUCCACCGAAUGCCUAAGGUUUCCUGAGGAAGGCUCGUCCGCUCAGGGUUAGUCGGGACCUAAGCCGAGGCUGAAAAGCGUAGGCGAUGGCCAACAGGUUGAUAUUCCUGUACCACCUCCCCGCCGUUUGAGUAAUGGGGGGACGCAGUAGGAUAGGGUAAGCGCGCUGCUGGAUAUGCGCGUUCAAGCAGUUAGGCUGAUGAGUAGGCAAAUCCGCUCAUCAUAAAGGCUGAGCUGUGAUGACGAGGGAAUUAUAGUACCGAAGUUCCUGAUUCCACACUGCCAAGAAAAGCCUCUAGCGAGGCGGGAGGUGCCCGUACCGCAAACCGACACAGGUAGGCGAGGAGAGAAUCCUAAGGUGAUCGAGAGAACUCUCGUUAAGGAACUCGGCAAAAUGACCCCGUAACUUCGGGAGAAGGGGUGCUCUGGUAGGGUGUAUAGCCCGAGAGAGCCGCAGUGAAUAGGCCCAGGCGACUGUUUAGCAAAAACACAGGUCUCUGCGAAGCCGCAAGGCGAAGUAUAGGGGCUGACGCCUGCCCGGUGCUGGAAGGUUAAGAGGAGGGGUUAUCCUUUGGGAGAAGCUCUGAAUUGAAGCCCCAGUAAACGGCGGCCGUAACUAUAACGGUCCUAAGGUAGCGAAAUUCCUUGUCGGGUAAGUUCCGACCCGCACGAAAGGCGUAACGAUCUGGGCACUGUCUCAACGAGAGACUCGGUGAAAUUAUAGUACCUGUGAAGAUGCAGGUUACCCGCGACAGGACGGAAAGACCCCGUGGAGCUUUACUGUAGCCUGAUAUUGAAUUUUGGUACAGCUUGUACAGGAUAGGUAGGAGCCUGAGAAGCCGGAGCGCUAGCUUCGGUGGAGGCGUCGGUGGGAUACUACCCUGGCUGUAUUGAAAUUCUAACCCGCGGCCCUGAUCGGGCCGGGAGACAGUGUCAGGUGGGCAGUUUGACUGGGGCGGUCGCCUCCUAAAAUGUAACGGAGGCGCCCAAAGGUUCCCUCAGAAUGGUUGGAAAUCAUUCGUAGAGUGUAAAGGCACAAGGGAGCUUGACUGCGAGACCUACAAGUCGAGCAGGGACGAAAGUCGGGCUUAGUGAUCCGGUGGUUCCGCAUGGAAGGGCCAUCGCUCAACGGAUAAAAGCUACCCCGGGGAUAACAGGCUUAUCUCCCCCAAGAGUCCACAUCGACGGGGAGGUUUGGCACCUCGAUGUCGGCUCAUCGCAUCCUGGGGCUGUAGUCGGUCCCAAGGGUUGGGCUGUUCGCCCAUUAAAGCGGUACGCGAGCUGGGUUCAGAACGUCGUGAGACAGUUCGGUCCCUAUCCGUCGUGGGCGUAGGAAAUUUGAGAGGAGCUGUCCUUAGUACGAGAGGACCGGGAUGGACACACCGCUGGUGUACCAGUUGUCUUGCCAAAGGCAUCGCUGGGUAGCUAUGUGUGGACGGGAUAAGUGCUGAAAGCAUCUAAGCAUGAAGCCCCCCUCAAGAUGAGAUUUCCCAUAGCGCAAGCUAGUAAGAUCCCUGAAAGAUGAUCAGGUUGAUAGGUCAGAGGUGGAAGCGUGGCGACAUGUGUAGCUGACUGAUACUAAUCGAUCGAGGACUUAACCAA